rnacentral:rRNA from 1 species
AACGUAGGACACAAGCGUUAUCCGGAGUUACUGGGCGUAAAGGGCGUGUAGGCGGAUCAAUAAGUCUAUUCUGAAAGCUCCUGGCUAAACUGGGAGAGGCGAAUGGAGACUGUUGGUCUAGAGUGAGGAAGAGGAAAGUGGAAUUCCGCGUGUAGUGGUGAAAUGCGUAGAGAUGCGGAGGAACACCAGUGGCGAAAGCGGCUUU